GGGUCGAUAGCUCAGUUGGUAGAGCAACAGCCUUUUAAGCUGAUGGUCCCGGGUUCAAGUCCCGGUCGACCCACCA
rnacentral:tRNA from 1 species